rnacentral:rRNA from 1 species
GACGAACGCUGGCGGUAUGCUUAACACAUGCAAGUCGAACGAACAAAAUUGGGGCUUGCUCCAAUUUUAGUGAGUGGCAAACGGGUGAGUAACACGUGGGAAUCUACCUAUCAGUACGGAAUAACAUAUGGAAACAGAUGCUAAUACCGUAUAUUCUCCAAGGUGGAAAGAUUUAUCGCUGAUAGAUGAGCCCGCGCAAGAUUAGGUAGUUGGUAGGGUAAUGGCCUACCAAGACUACGAUCUUUAGCUGGUCUGAGAGGAUGAUCAGCCACACUGGGACUGAGACACGGCCCAGACUCCUACGGGAGGCAGCAGUAGGGAAUAUUGGACAAUGGGCGAAAGCCUGAUCCAGCAAUACCGCGUGAAUGAUGAAGGCCUUAGGGUUGUAAAGUUCUUUUAGUUGGAAAGAUAAUGACGGUACCAACAGAAAAAGCCCCGGCUAACUCCGUGCCAGCCGCCGCCGUAA